ACUGGAGGACCGAACCGACUAAUGUUGAAAAAUUAGCGGAUGACUUGUGGCUAGGGGUGAAAGGCCAAUCAAACUCGGAGAUAGCUGGUUCUCCCCGAAAGCUAUUUAGGUAGCGCCUCGGACGAAUACUACUGGGGGUAGAGCACUGUUAAGGCUAGGGGGUCAUCCCGACUUACCAACCCUUUGCAAACUCCGAAUACCAGUAAGUACUAUCCGGGAGACACACGGCGGGUGCUAACGUCCGUCGUGGAGAGGGAAACAACCCAGACCGCCAGCUAAGGUCCCAAAGUAUUGCUAAGUGGGAAACGAUGUGGGAAGGCUCAGACAGCUAGGAUGUUGGCUUAGAAGCAGCCAUCAUUUAAAGAAAGCGUAAUAGCUCACUAGUCGAGUCGGCCUGCGCGGAAGAUGUAACGGGGCUAAGCAAUACACCGAAGCUGCGGCAAUAUCUUUUAGAUAUUGGGUAGGGGAGCGUUCUGUAAGCCGUUGAAGGUGAAUCGUAAGGUUUGCUGGAGGUAUCAGAAGUGCGAAUGCUGACAUGAGUAACGACAAAGGGGGUGAAAAACCUCCUCGCCGGAAGACCAAGGGUUCCUGUCCAACGUUAAUCGGGGCAGGGUGAGUCGACCCCUAAGGUGAGGCCGAAAGGCGUAAUCGAUGGGAAACGGGUUAAUAUUCCCGUACUUCUGACUAUUGCGAUGGGGGGACGGAGAAGGCUAGGUGGGCCAGGCGACGGUUGUCCUGGUUCAAGUGCGUAGGCUUGAGAGUUAGGUAAAUCCGGCUCUCUCUAAGGCUGAGACACGACGUCGAGCUACUACGGUAGUGAAGUCAUUGAUGCCAUGCUUCCAGGAAAAGCCUCUAAG
rnacentral:rRNA from 1 species